CCUACGGGCGGCAGCAGUGAGGAAUAUUGGUCAAUGGACGCAAGUCUGAACCAGCAAUGCCGCGUGCAGGAAGACGGCUCUCUGAGUUGUAACCUGCUUUUGUACGGGGGUAAACGCAGAUACGUGUACCUGUCUGAAAGUAUCGUACGAAUAAGGAUCGGCUAACCCCGUGCCAGCAGCCGCGGAAAUACGGAGGGUUCAAGCGUUAACCGGAUUUAUUGGGUUUAAAGGGUGCGUAGGCGGUCGGUUAAGUUAGAGGUGAAAUCCCGGGGCUCAACUUCGGAAUUGCCUCUGAUACUGUUCGGCUAGAGAGUAGUUGAGGUAGGCGGAAUGCAUGGUGUAGCGGUGAAAUGCUUAGAGAUCAUACAGAACACCGAUUGCGAAGGCAGCUUACCGAGCUACUUCUGACGUUGAGGCACGAAAGCGUGGGUAGCAAACAGGAUUAGAUACCCGAGUAGUC
rnacentral:rRNA from 1 species